rnacentral:tRNA from 1 species
GCUCGCUUGGUGAAAAAGGUAAACACGAUGGAUUUAAAAUCCGUUCUCACUUAAGAGUUACUGGUUCGAGUCCAGUAGCGAGUACUUUUAUUUCUCAAAAUA